rnacentral:rRNA from 1 species
AUAUUGCGCAAUGGACGAAAGUCUGACGCAGCCACGCCGCGUGAGUGAAGACGGCCUUCGGGUUGUAAAGCUCUGUCAUCCGGGAAAAACGGCUAUCGGGGGAAAGUUCCGAUAGCGUGAUGGUACCGGAGGAGGAAGCACCGGCAAACUCUGUGCCAGCAGCCGCGGUAAUACAGAGGGUGCAAGCGUUGUUCGGAAUUACUGGGCGUAAAGCGUGCGUAGUCGGUAUUGAGAGUCGCGGGUGAAAUCCCAGGGCUUAACCCUGGAACUGCCUGCGAGACCUCAGUACUAGAGUGUGAGAGGGGAUAGUGGAAUACCCAGUGUAGCGGUGAAAUGCGUAGAGAUUGGGUGGAACACCGGUGGCGAAGGCGGCUAUCUGGCUCACAACUGACGAUCAGGCACGAAAGCGUGGGUAGCAA